UACUUGUACAGUUUUAUACUAUUCAUAUCUAACAUUUGACCGUCCGUCUUAUUUGAAAAAAUUUUAUAAUUAUUAUUUUUAUUGCUAUUAGAUGAUAAAACAUGAAUAGCACUUUAUGUGUGAUUAAUUUUUUUUUACUUUUUAAUAACUUUUUAAAUAAGACAGACAGUCAAACGUUUGACACGAAAAGCUACGGCUAUAUUUUAU
rfam:Oryza punctata chromosome 12, whole genome shotgun sequence.